UGUGGGAGCGAGCUUGCUCGCGAAGGCGGCCUGACAGUCGAUAUUGAAGGUGACUGACCCACCGCCAUCGCGAGCAAGCUCGCUCCCACA
rnacentral:misc_RNA from 1 species